UCUCCGUAGGUGAACCUGCGGAGGGAUCAUUACUGAGUGUGGGCAUCGGUCCGACCUCCAACCCUUUGUGAACCAAACUUGUUGCUUCGGGGGCGACCCUGCCGCUGCGGGGGUGCGGCGCCCCCGGAGGCCAUUAAACACUGCAUCAUUGCGUCGGAGUUAAAGUAAAUUAAACAAAACUUUCAACAACGGAUCUCUUGGUUCCAGCAUCGAUGAAGAACGCAGC
rnacentral:misc_RNA from 1 species